rnacentral:lncRNA from 1 species
ACAAGUGGAGUCUUAAGUUCAAAUUUUCGAGAUGAUAAUACAGGUCAUAACACAUAUUAUAAAAAUACAUCAUGAAUUUUAAUUAUUAUUUUAGUAAGAUAGGAUAUUUGAUAAUAAAUUAAGACUGAUGAUACAAAAUUAUACAAAACAUAAUCAUGAAAAAAAAUCAAAUUAUUUUUUUGACAUACAAUGUAAUAUCCACUACCAC